UUAGGGUUCGAUUCCGGAGAGGGAGCCUGAGAAACGGCUACCACUUCUAAGGAAGGCAGCAGGCGCGCAAAUUACCCAAUCCCGACACGGGGAGGUAGUGACAAUAAAUAACAAUACAGGGCCUUUACAGGUCUUGUAAUUGGAAUGAGUACAAUUUAAAUCUCUUAACGAGGAACAAUUGGAGGGCAAGUCUGGUGCCAGCAGCCGCGGUAAUUCCAGCUCCAAUAGCGUAUAUUAAAGUUGUUGCAGUUAAAAAGCUCGUAGUUGAAUUUUGGAUUCGGCCAAUUGGUCCAUCUUUUAGAUGAGUACUGGUUGUGUUGGGUCUAUCCGCCUGGUGAUACGUAAUGUCCUUUAUUGGAUGUUGCGGGUAGUCAGGACCUUUACCUUGAAAAAAUCAGAGUGUUUAUAGU
rnacentral:rRNA from 1 species